UUUAACGUUAGCUAUAUGGUUUACAGCUAGUCAACUAGCUAGCUAGCUCUGGCCUUUAAUCAAGCUGUUCCACUCUGAUGUUGAUGAAAGCCCGACUGUCUAGCAGAACCAGCGGCAGGAGAGACCCGGGCGGGUGGAACCACGGAUAAAAGUCACUAAAACAGCAAACUCUGAAGGUGGGUCUUCGAUGACGAGUAGGGUUGACAGGAGGAGCCAAGGACAACGUGUUGCAUCAACAACCAGGAAAUACCACGACGGACGCGGUGCAAUUUAGAAGCAGCCCAAAAACCCCGCAACAUGCGACCAAGAGUAUGUGAGUGAACCAGAGCUGGAGUGGAGCCAGAAGCGGAGCAGUUUACUGCAGCUCGGAGCUCAGGGCGAAGAAGCAUAGUUAUGAUAAUCUACAGUCUGAAGCUGAGGCAAUAUCCCUUGACCCAAGGACUGUACCUGAAACGAUACAAGAUCACCGGUGAAGUGUUCAUUAGAGACAUCCUUAUCAACUAGUGGAACUGAAGAAGAAUUCCUCACUAACAGACAGACUGUCAGAACAUCAUGUCUAAUAGUUAUCUAUGGGACUGAUACCAGUGUAGAAGAGCUGGUCAUGU